GACGAACGCUGGCGGCGUGCCUAAUACAUGCAAGUUGAGCGCUGAAGGUUGGUACUUGUACCAACUGGAUGAGCAGCGAACGGGUGAGUAACGCGUGGGGAAUCUGCCUUUGAGCGGGGGACAACAUUUGGAAACGAAUGCUAAUACCGCAUAAAAACUUUAAACACAAGUUUUAAGCUUGAAAGAUGCAAUUGCAUCACUCAAAGAUGAUCCCGCGUUGUAUUAGCUAGUUGGUGAGGUAAAGGCUCACCAAGGCGUUGAUACCUAGCCGACCUGGAAGGGUAAUCGGCCACUUUGGGACUGAAACCCGGCCCAAACUCCUCCGGGAGGCAGCCGUAGGGGAUCUUCGGCGAUGGACGAAAGUCUGACCGUGCAACGCCGCGUGAGUGAAGAAGGUUUUCGGGUCGUAAAACUCUGUUGGUAGUGAAGAACGUUGGUGAGAGUGGAAAGCUCAUCAAGUGACGGUAACUACCCAGAAAGGGACGGCUAACUACGUG
rnacentral:rRNA from 1 species